UACACUCCUACGGGAGGCAGCAGUGGGGAAUAUUGGACAAUGGGCGCAAGCCUGAUCCAGCCAUGCCGCGUGAGUGAUGAAGGCCCUAGGGUUGUAAAGCUCUUUCACCGGUGAAGAUAAUGACGGUAACCGGAGAAGAAGCCCCGGCUAACUUCGUGCCAGCAGCCGCGGUAAUACGAAGGGGGCUAGCGUUGUUCGGAUUUACUGGGCGUAAAGCGCACGUAGGCGGACUAUUAAGUCAGGGGUGAAAUCCCGGGGCUCAACCCCGGAACUGCCUUUGAUACUGGUAGUCUUGAGUUCGAGAGAGGUGAGUGGAAUUCCGAGUGUAGAGGUGAAAUUCGUAGAUAUUCGGAGGAACACCAGUGGCGAAGGCGGCUCACUGGCUCGAUACUGACGCUGAGGUGCGAAAGCGUGGGGAGCAAACAGGAUUAGAAACCCGAGUAGUCCCAUG
rnacentral:rRNA from 1 species